GGGUUGUGAGGUUAAGCGACUAAGCGUACACGGUGGAUGCCCUGGCAGUCAGAGGCGAUGAAGGACGUGCUAAUCUGCGAUAAGCGCCGGUAAGGUGAUAUGAACCGUUAUAACCGGCGAUUUCCGAAUGGGGAAACCCAGUGUGACUCGUCACACUAUCAUUAACUGAAUCCAUAGGUUAAUGAGGCGAACCGGGGGAACUGAAACAUCUAAGUACCCCGAGGAAAAGAAAUCAACCGAGAUUCCCCCAGUAGCGGCGAGCGAACGGGGAGGAGCCCAGAGCCUGAAUCAGCAUGUGUGUUAGUGGAAGCGUCUGGAAAGGCGCGCGAUACAGGGUGACAGCCCCGUACACAAAAGCGCAUGUGCUGUGAGCUCGAUGAGUAGGGCGGGACACGUGGUAUCCUGUCUGAAUAUGGGGGGAC
rnacentral:rRNA from 2 species